rnacentral:rRNA from 1 species
UAGGGAAUCUUCCGCAAUGGACGCAAGUCUGACGGAGCAACGCCGCGUGAGUGAAGAAGGAUUUCGGUUCGUAAAACUCUGUUGUUAGAGAAGAACAGCGCAUAGAGUAACUGUUAUGCGUGUGACGGUAUCUAACCAGAAAGCCACGGCUAACUACGUGCCAGCAGCCGCGGUAAUACGUAGGUUGCAAGCGUUGUCCGGAUUUAUUGGGCGUAAAGCGAGCGCAGGCGGUCAAUUAAGUCUGAUGUGAAAGCCCCCGGCUCAACCGGGGAGGGUCAUUGGAAACUGGUUGACUUGAGUGCAGAAGAGGAGAGUGGAAUUCCAUGUGUAGCGGUGAAAUGCGUAGAUAUAUGGAGGAACACCAGUGGCGAAGGCGACUCUCUGGUCUGUAACUGACGCUGAGGCUCGAAAGCGUGGGUAGCAAACAGG